rnacentral:rRNA from 1 species
UGGGGAAUAUUGGACAAUGGGCGCAAGCCUGAUCCAGCAAUGCCGCGUGUGUGAAGAAGGCCUUCGGGUUGUAAAGCACUUUUAUCAGGAGCGAAAUACCAUCGGUUAAUAACCGGUGGGGCUGACGGUACCUGAGGAAUAAGCACCGGCUAACUUCGUGCCAGCAGCCGCGGUAAUACGAAGGGUGCAAGCGUUAAUCGGAAUUACUGGGCGUAAAGGGUGCGUAGGCGGUUGUUUAAGUCUGUCGUGAAAUCCCCGGGCUCAACCUGGGAAUGGCGAUGGAUACUGGGCAGCUAGAGUGUGUCAGAGGAUGGUGGAAUUCCCGGUGUAGCGGUGAAAUGCGUAGAGAUCGGGAGGAACAUCAGUGGCGAAGGCGGCCAUCUGGGACAACACUGACGCUGAAGCACGAAAGCGUGGGGAGCAAACA